AAAGAAUUAUUUUAAAUUUAGAAUUUUUGACUCUUAAUCAGAAGGUUUAUUUCUUUA
rnacentral:tRNA from 1 species